AGUGAACGCUGGCGGCAGGCCUAACACAUGCAAGUCGAACGGCAGCACGGCAGUAGCAAUACUGUGGGUGGCGAGUGGCGGACGGGUGAGGAAUACAUCGGGAUCUACCCUGUUGUGGGGGAUAACGUAGGGAAACUUACGCUAAUACCGCAUACGUCCUACGGGAGAAAGCGGGCCUCUACACUAUGCUCGCACUCGAGGAUGAGCCCACGUCCGAUUAGCUAGUUGGUAGGGUAACGGCCUACCAAGGCCACGAUCGGUAGCUGGUCUGAGAGGAUGAUCAGCCACACUGGGACUGAGACACGGCCCAGACUCCUACGGGAGGCAGCAGUGGGGAAUAUUGGACAAUGGGCGCAAGCCUGAUCCAGCAAUGCCGCGUGUGUGAAGAAGGCCUGCGGGUUGUAAAGCACUUUCAGUGGGGAAGAACGGAUACGGGCCAAUACCCCGCAUCACUGACGUUACCCACAGAAGAAGCACCGGCUAACUCCGUG
rnacentral:rRNA from 1 species